UACGUAGGGAGCGAGCGUUGUCCGAAGUUACUGGGCGUAAAGCGCGCGUAGGCGGUCUGUUAAGUGAGAAGUGAAAGGCUGGGGCUCAACCCCAUGCAGUGCUUCUCAUACUGGCAGUCUUGAGGGCGGUAGAGAGAAGUGGAAUGGCUGGUGUAGCGGUGAAAUGCGUAGAUAUCAGUCGGAACACCGGUGGCGAAGGCGGCUUCUUGGGCCGUUUCUGACGCUGAGGCGCGAAAGCCAGGGGAGCGAACGGG
rnacentral:rRNA from 1 species